rnacentral:rRNA from 1 species
UACGUAGGAUGCAAGCGUUGUCCGGAUUUAUUGGGCGUAAAGAGUUCGUAGGCGGUUUGUUAAGUCUGAUGUAAAAGACUGGGGCUCAACCUCGGGACUGCAUUGGAUACUGGCAGACUGGAGUACGGUAGAGGCAAGUGGAAUUCCCAGUGUAGCGGUGAAAUGCGUAGAUAUUGGGAAGAACACCGGUGGCGCAAGCGACUUGCUGGGCCGUAACUGACGCUGAGGAACGAAAGCUAGGGUAGCGAAUGGG